UUACAGCCAUAUCACGUUGAAUCACUAGUUCCCGUACGAUCAUUGAAGUUAAGCAACGAUGACCUCAGUCAAUACCUAGAUGGAUGACAGCUUGGGAAUACCAGGUGUUGUAAG
rnacentral:rRNA from 1 species